AAAUAGAUACCCCCGGUAGUCCACGCCGUAAACGAUGAGUGCUAAGUGUUAGAGGGUUUCCGCCCUUUAGUGCUGCAGCUAACGCAUUAAGCACUCCGCCUGGGGAGUACGGUCGCAAGACUGAAACUCAAAGGAAUUGACGGGGGCCCGCACAAGCGGUGGAGCAUGUGGUUUAAUUCGAAGCAACGCGAAGAACCAUACCAGGUCUUGACAUCCUCUGACAACUCUAGAGAUAGAGCGUUCCCCUUCGGGGGACAGAGUGACAGGUGGUGCAUGGUUGUCGUCAGCUCGUGUCGUGAGAUGUUGGGUUAAGUCCCGCAACGAGCGCAACCCUUGAUCUUAGUUGCCAGCAUUUAGUUAGGCACUCUAAGGUGACUGCCGGUGACAAACCGGAGGAAGGUGGGGAUGACGUCAAAUCAUCAUGCCCCUUAUGACCUGGGCUACACACGUGCUACAAUGGAUGGUACAAAGGGCUGCAAGACCGCGAGGUCAAGCCAAUCCCAUAAAACCAUUCUCAGUUCGGAUUGU
rnacentral:rRNA from 1 species